AGAGUUUGAUCAUGGCUCAGAUUGAACGCUGGCGGCAUGCUUUACACAUGCAAGUCGAGCGGCAGCGCGGGGGCAACCCUGGCGGCGAGCGGCGAACGGGUGAGUAAUGCAUCGGAACGUACCCUGGAGUGGGGGAUAACGCCGCGAAAGCGGCGCUAAUACCGCAUAUGCUCUGAGGAGGAAAGUGGGGGACCGCAAGGCCUCACGCUCUGGGAGCGGCCGAUGUCCGAUUAGCUAGUUGGUGGGUAAAGGCUUACCAAGGCGACGAUCGGUAGCUGGUCUGAGAGGAUGAUCAGCCACACUGGGACUGAGACACGGCCCAGACUCCUACGGGAGGCAGCAGUGGGGAAUUUUGGACAAUGGGGGCAACCCUGAUCCAGCCAUGCCGCGUGAGUGAAGAAGGCCUUCGGGUUGUAAAGCUCCUUUGGUCGGGAAGAAAGCGCCUUGCCUAAUACGCGAGGUGGUUGACGGUACCGGCAGAAUAAGCACCGGCUAACUACGUG
rnacentral:rRNA from 1 species